rnacentral:rRNA from 1 species
CGGACGGGUUAGUAACGCGUGGGAACAUACCCUUUUCUACGGAAUAGCCUCGGGAAACUGAGAGUAAUACCGUAUAAGCCCUUCGGGGGAAAGAUUUAUCGGGAAAGGAUUGGCCCGCGUUAGAUUAGAUAGUUGGUGGGGUAAUGGCCUACCAAGUCUACGAUCUAUAGCUGGUUUUAGAGGAUGAUCAGCAACACUGGGACUGAGACACGGCCCAGACUCCUACGGGAGGCAGCAGUGGGGAAUCUUAGACAAUGGGCGAAAGCCUGAUCUAGCCAUGCCGCGUGAGUGAUGAAGGUCUUAGGAUCGUAAAGCUCUUUCGCUAGGGAUGAUAAUGACAGUACCUAGUAAAGAAGCCCCGGCUAACUCCGUGCCAGCAGCCGCGGUAAUACGGAGGGGGCUAGCGUUGUUCGGAAUUACUGGGCGUAAAGCGUACGUAGGCGGAUCAGAAAGUAUGGGGUGAAAUCCCAGGGCUUAACCCUGGAACUGCCUCAUAAACUCCUGGUCUUGAGUUCGAGAGAGGUGAGUGGAAU